AUUGAACGCUGGCGGCAGGCCUAACACAUGCAAGUCGAACGGUAACAGGAAGAAGCUUGCUUCUUUGCUGACGAGUGGCGGACGGGUGAGUAAUGUCUGGGAAACUGCCUGAUGGAGGGGGAUAACUACUGGAAACGGUAGCUAAUACCGCAUAACGUCGCAAGACCAAAAAGGGGGACCUUCGGGCCUCUUGCCAUCGGAUGUGCCCAGAUGGGAUUAGCUAGUAGGUGGGGUAACGGCUCACCUAGGCGACGAUCCCUAGCUGGUCUGAGAGGAUGACCAGCCACACUGGAACUGAGACACGGUCCAGACUCCUACGGGAGGCAGCAGUGGGGAAUAUAGCACAAUGGGCGCAAGCCUGAUGCAGCCAUGCCGCGUGUAUGAAGAAGGCCUUCGGGUUGUAAAGUACUUUCAGCGGGGAGGAAGGGAGUAAAGUUAAUACCUUUGCUCAUUGACGUUACCCGCAGAAGAAGCACCGGCUAACUCCGUG
rnacentral:rRNA from 1 species